UAAAUGAAUACAUAUACCUUCAGCAGGGUCGGUCGUAGUAGUGGUGUUAUUUUGAGCGUCGGAUAAACCAAUUAGCAGGAAGAGAUGAGCAAAUAGUGUGUACGAAGAAAGUAGCAGCGAGGAAGAAAGUAGCAGCUUCACUGAUCUCACUCCAAAAUUCAUCUUCUCUCUCAUUACGAUUUACCAACCCAGAAUAAAGAGAAUUUAACGCUAAUAAUUGAAUCUAUACUCUCAUAGUUUUGUUGAAGUUAAAGAAUAUAUAGAAGGGGAAGCUAGCCAGAGUCGGUCAACAUUUGUUUUUUUAUUUUUUUUCCCAUCGUCCAUUUUACGAAGUGGUUAAAAAAAAAAAAAAUGCAUCUUAAAGCUGUGGCAAGAGGUGUUUUUAAAAACAAAAAAUAGAGAAAGAAAAGUUGAACGGUAGACACAAGAGGUACAAUAAUUUUAUGUAAGCUAUCAUAUACAAAAGAUAAAAGUUCGACAAACUGGACGAAUCCUUUCAUGUACAUAUUGGAAAUACCCAUAUAUAUAAAUGCCAAUUGACGGGCUUUUUUUUUUUAAUUUUGGUGUUUUGCUAUGCGUGUAAAGCAAAGACUUGAGUGCAUCAGAAAUUGACCAAAUUCAACUCUCGUGUAUGUACAUUGCGUCCUAAUCUUGUUGUUAUCAACUGCCCGUUUAUUGACGCAAACUCAACAUAACAUUGUAUACGGAUGCGAUUCGUGGUACAUAAACGUUAGAAUACUGCAGAAAAAUAAUACAUGACGACUAAUGUACUCUUAUUACAAAAUUCUUAGAAGUUAAACAAAAAUACUUGCAAUGAGGCACCACCUCGACUAUUACAUUAACGGGUUGUUGAACUAAACCUAUUCCCUUAUUAUUAUUAUUUGUUGAGUAAUAAAAAAUACCAGGUAGGUAUCUCCCCAUUCCAUACCGGGGGGAUGAAUCUCUCCGGCUGAAUGAUACGAGCAGAUUCCUAGUAGUAUAUCCUUUAUGGAGCACAUGCCGACUAGAAACGAAUACCGACCAGAAGUUCAUACCGAUCAGAUACUUGUCACUCAAAGAAAGAGGACACGAUCUCACCAACACACGACAAUUUCGUCAUGCCCCAAACCGCUGGGGAGAACACGAGGCCCCACGUUUACCCACGUUCGGUUGUUGAAGACCCAUUAAGGCCCUUAAUCACCCAAAUAUGACGGGCAUGAAAAAUACUCUGAGAAAGUAGGAUAACGGCCUAUAAAAGGCUGAGAAAUCAAUGAAAAAAGAGGACACAAAAAAAAAAGAGAAGGAAAAACUCUGCCAAAUUAAUAUCACGCAUUACUACAUAAACAUCUCUAAUACACUUUUUUCUAGACACAUUACAGUUAACGUGCAUAAACAAAAAUCAUAUAGUUUUCAUUGGUUGAGAUGAUGAUAACAAAUAACAAUAGUGAGGAAGAAAAAUAUACUUUCUCACACCAGAUAACCGGCAAAGUACGAGCACAUAAUAUAUUUUAAAUUGGAUUAUUUUUAAUAUACAAAAAAAAAAGAGCUUUAAAAAUGAAAGCAUUAUGGAGUCUUAGUUAAUGAAAUUAAGAUCAGUUCGAUCAUCAUCAUCACACAACAUGUUGAGACAUGUAUUUUUAUUAAAAACAAAAGUUAUAGACCUGACAUCCCUAACAGUACAGUGAUGAAUAUCUGUCAAUUAAUUAAUGUCUUCUUCCUUAAUUAGCAUUCACUCUAUAUUACUCCACUAAAAGCUUAAUUAUCAUCAACCAUGAUGAUUUUAAAUUGAGGUGUUAAAGAAAGAGAAAUUAAUUGUUAAUGUCUUCUGACUUUCUACAGCUCACUCUGAAUAUACAAUUAAUUGUUUUCUAAAAGAAUCAUGCUACUACACAUACACAUAAUGAAUUUAUGUCAAAAUAAAGAAAGAGAAAGAACAGAAAACCCCAGGGCCGUGGCUAGCUAGCAAGAGAAUUAAUUAAUGGGAAGAAAUUAAAUGAAUACGUUUACCUUCAGCAGGGUCGGUCGUAGUAGUGGUGUUAUUUUGAGCGUCGGAUAAACCAAUUAGCAGGAAGAGAUGAGCAAAUAGUGUGGAGGUGUUUUUUAAAAACAAAAAAUAGAGAAAGAAAAGGUGAACGGUAGACACAAGAGGUACAAUAAUUAUAUGUAACCUAUCUCAUAUAUAAAAGAUAAAAGUUGGCAAUACCCGUAUAUAUAAAUGCCAAUUGACGGGCUUUUUUUUUUUUUUUUAAAUUUAAAUUUUGGUGUUUUGCUAUGCCUGUAAAGAAAAGACUUGAGUGCAUCAGAAAUUGACCAAAUUCAACUCUAUAUGGCGUCCUAAUCUUCAUGGUCUCUAGUGUGGGGUUCACUUAAUUAAUAAUUAUUGUUAUCAACUGCCCGUUUAUUGACGUAAACUCAACAUAACAUUGUAUACGGAUGCGAUUCGUGGUACAUAAAAGUUAGAAUACUGCAGAAAAAUAAUACAUGACGACUAAUGUACUCUUAUUACAAAAUUCUUAAAAGUUAAACAAAAAUACUUGCAAUGAGGCACCACCUCGAUUAUUACAUUAACGGGUUGUUGAACUAAACCUAUUCCCUUAUUAUUAUUAUUAUUAUUAUUUACUUAUCAUUUGAUUUUUCCGGAAUCGACCUCUUUCUUAUUGAUUAUUUAUUCCCUUUUCCGAAUUCUCUUUUCUUUCACGUGUUCUCACAACUCACAUUCCACUUUGCAAUUUGCAAUAGAUAUAUGAACACAUUGAACUUUAUCAAUCUCAUGACAUUGGCUCAUCCUCUAUAUAUAUAUCUCUCUAUGCACGAAAUCAUAAACCAGUAAAUAUUAGUUGGCAAACCCUUAGAAUUGUCAAUUAGAUGAUUAACCCAAACCCUAGGAUUCAAACAUUUGUUUAUGAGAGAAUCAAAGCGAUUGGUAAGUUUACUCCCCUUAUUCCCCACAAGAUUUCCAAUCACUCUAUCUAGGGUUUAUAUUGGCAUGAUUUUAGAUUGUUAUAGAUCAUAAUGCAUGAUUUAGAAUGUGUUUAGGGUUUUGAUUUAUUAUGAGUUUAGGGCUUAAAAAUACAAAGCCGACACAUAAUAGACCUAGAUAAGGGCCUAGCUUUUCAAUUUAUAAAAAAAAUAAAUUAAAUUUAAAUAAAAACUCAAAAUAUUAAAUUAAUAUUUUUUUAUAUUAGCAUUUGUGAUUUAUUAUAUUGUGUUAAUAAUAUUUUGUGUAUUACACUAUUAUUCUAUUAUAUAUUGGAUAAUUAUUUUAAUUUAAAUAUUUUUACUUUAUUAAAAAUUUAUUUUAUAUUUAAUGGAACAAGCCCAAGCUUGGCUUAGGGCCUGCCUGUCCAAAUUUGGACAGAUUUUUGAAGAGUCUGGGCUUAUUAUCUAUAAUAUGAGCUUGACCCUAGGUUUGGAAAAGUCCGACACAAGUCCAUAUUUUGCCAAUCUAAGCGUGUCAGCAUUGACUCUAUUAAACCGCACGGUUUAACAAUGUGUUCACAUGAAAAAAUGAAGGCCCCCACAUUAGAGAAUGAUUAUAUAUGUACACUUAUUAGAGUUAAUGCACUUUAGAUAUGAUUAUAUAUAAAAUCAAUGUCUGUUUUUUUUAUUAUUAAUUAAAGAGUGAAUAUGUAGAACGAAUUUUAAAUUCGAAGAUUUUGAAUUCCCUCGUCUACGAUGUUAAAGUAUACACACAAUUAUCAAUUUUGAUAAAAAGUGAUCCCAUUAGAUGAAGAAAUCAUUAAAGUUAAAUAGUUAAAGGCCUUUAUAUAUGUAACCUCGUUUGUUUGAAGUCUAAAGAGAUAAUAAUGUGAAAUAUAUGAUUUAGGAAAAAAAAUUGAAAUUGCACAACUACUUUCACUUUUUGGAAACAGAAAAAGUCCACGAUUUUUUGUAAAAGAAUUAUACAAAUAUAAAAUUUCAGUCCUAGUUAAAAGAAUAACAUCUCUAAUUGGACAAAAUGAAACACAUAUAUUUAUAUCCGGGUUAAGAAUUCAGUUUUAAUUUAUGUUUUUUUGCUAAACAAUGAACCAAUAGUUAUUGUGCAAAUAUAUAUAUAUAUAUUUGGCUAGAUCACAUAUUAACCAAUAGUUACGUGAUCUGGCUAGCAAGAGAAUUAAUUAACGAGAAGAAAUUAAAUGAGUUAAAGAAAAUGGAUAUACAUACCUUCAGCAGGGUCGGUCGUAGCAGUGGUGUUAUUUUGAGCGUUGGAUAAACAAAUUAGCAGGAAGAGAUGAUCGAAUAGUACUAGUGAGGAAGAAAGCAGCAGCUUCAACGAUCCCACUCCAAAAUUCAUCUUCAUUUCUCGUUACAAUUUACAAACCCAGAAUAAGGAGAAUUUAAUGCUAAUUUUUGAAUCUAUAGUUUUGUUGAAGUUAAAGAAUAUGUACAAGAAGAAGCUGGCCAGAGUCGG
rnacentral:lncRNA from 1 species